rnacentral:rRNA from 1 species
ACUCCUACGGGAGGCAGCAGUGGGGAAUAUUGCACAAUGGGCGCAAGCCUGAUGCAGCCAUGCCGCGUGUAUGAAGAAGGCCUUCGGGUUGUAAAGUACUUUCAGCAGUGAGGAAGGUGUUGUCGUUAAUAGCGGCAUCAUUUGACGUUAGCUGCAGAAGAAGCACCGGCUAACUCCGUGCCAGCAGCCGCGGUAAUACGGAGGGUGCGAGCGUUAAUCGGAAUUACUGGGCGUAAAGCGCAUGCAGGUGGUUUGUUAAGUCAGAUGUGAAAGCCCGGGGCUCAACCUCGGAAUUGCAUUUGAAACUGGCAGACUAGAGUACUGUAGAGGGGGGUAGAAUUUCAGGUGUAGCGGUGAAAUGCGUAGAGAUCUGAAGGAAUACCGGUGGCGAAGGCGGCCCCCUGGACAGAUACUGACACUCAGAUGCGAAAGCGUGGGGAGCAAACAGGAUUAGAUACCCUGGUAGGAUAGCG